CAGCAACGACGCUCAUAAACGAACAUCAAUUUAUUUCUGCUCCGCUACAAUUGUUGUGUUGUUGCUAGACUACUGAUGCCAGAGAAAUAGCCGGAGAAACAACAUCAAAGGAUUUAUGAAAGAAGACUAUUAAAUUAUAUUUCCAUUUCUGCAUCGUUUAUUCCCGAGCAACGGUGUAAUACGAGAGAUUGUAGGUGUCUGAUGUGCUCGUAACGAAAUCUAAAAUAAUCGCUUGGGCUAUAGCUAAGGCAAACGUGUCAACGUAGCGAAAUGAGGCACAGGAAAAUGACAAGAACACGCAAGGAGAGGUUCUCCAACUGUCCGAUUUCUCCAAAGAGAGAUUAGUUUAUCAUUUUAUAAUCUGUAUCCAACUUCAACGAUGUCUCUCGUGGCCAGCGAUAUCCCGACGGACGAAGACCUAGAAGAUCUGGUUGAGGAUGGACUUUCUCUUGCUACCUACAUAUCAGACUCUGGAAAGAAAGCUAGGAAAAAGAAGCUGUCUGGUAAACCUCCCCCUUCUCCCAGGUCUCCGUAUCUCUCCAGUAUGGAUGUGAACCAGAGGAGAUCAGCGGUGUCAGCUUGGAGGCCCCUGAGAGGAACUCUGGGGGG